rnacentral:piRNA from 1 species
UGCCUUUUCGACAAGUAGGUUUUGUCUGA